CUACGGGUUGCACCAGUGGGGAAUAUUGCACAAUGGGCGCAAGCCUGAUGCAGCAACGCCGUGUGAGUGAUGAAGGUCUUCGGAUUGUAAAACUCUGUCCUAGGGGAAGAAAAAAAUGACGGUACCCUAGGAGGAAGCCCCGGCUAACUACGUGCCAGCAGCCGCGGUAAUACGUAGGGGGCAAGCGUUAUCCGGAAUCACUGGGCGUAAAGGGUGCGUAGGUGGCCUAGCAAGCCAGGGGUGAAAGGCAUUGGCUUAACCAAUGUAAGCCUUUGGAACUGUUGGGCUUGAGUGCAGGAGAGGUAAGUGGAAUUCCUAGUGUAGAGGUGAAAUUCGUAGAUAUUAGGAGGAACACCAGUGGCGAAGGCGACUUACUGGACUGUAACUGACACUGAGGCACGAAAGCGUGGGGAGCGAACAGGAUUAGAUACCCGAGUAGUC
rnacentral:rRNA from 1 species